rnacentral:tRNA from 1 species
GCCACCUUAGCUCAAUUGGCAGAGUGACCGCUUCGUAAGUGGUAGGUUAUGGGUUCGAUUCCCAUAGGUGGCU